UUUUAUAUCUUGUUAAUUUAUAUCAUUAUAUAAAUAAGAAUUUAUAUUUGAAAAGUAAUUUAUAAGAGUUAAUUAAUAGUAAUUAUUAAUGAAUAGAAUUUUAAAUAACUAUAGUGGAGAGUACUGUGAAGGAAAGAUUUAAUUAAUUAGAAAGAGCAAAAGUAAAAAUUAACAUUUGUACCUUGGGUAUCAGGGAUAAUCAAUAUAUUAUUAAUUAUUAUUAAAUAUCUCGAAAUAAAAAUAGCUAAUUUUAUAAAAAAGUUUUUGUAGUAUAAAAAUUUUUAAUGUAGAAUUAGAAGUGAAAUGUUAAUCGAGUUUUAUAAUAUCUAGUUCUUUAAAAAAUAAAUUUAAUUUAGGCUUUAUGGAAAAUAAAAUAUAAAGAAAGAAAAUAGAAGGGAAAAGCUUUUUAUUUAGAAAAUAGUUGUGAAUAAAAAUAAUAAAUUAUCUAGGCUUAGAAGUAGCUAUGUUUAUAAAGUGUUUUAACUAAAAUUUGUAAUUAAUAUUAUUUUUAUAAAUCUUUAUGUGUAUAUUAAGGAUUUGUUUCAAAUUUAAUGUAGUAAGUUAUGAUGGUUUUAUUAGUAGGAAAAUUUAUUUAAGUAAUAAAUUAAAUAAUAAGUAAUAUGUUUUAAUAUAAUUAAGAUAAUAUAGAGGAAUUCAGCAAAUAAUUUCUUUGCCUGUUUAUCAAAAACAUGUUUAUCUGGAGUUGUAGAUGAUUUGGCCUGCCCCCUGAUUAUAGUAAUUAAAUGGCCGCAGUAUUAUAACUGUGCAAAGGUAGCAUAAUCAUUAGGUUUUUAAUUAGAAUCUCGUAUGAAUGGUCGGACAAGAGAAAAGCUCUCUUUAUAUUAAAUUUUGAAUUUAACUUUUAAGUGAAAAGGCUUAAAUACACUAAAGGGACGAUAAGACCCUAUAAAACUUUACAUUAAAAUUUUAUUUUAGAAAAUUUAUAAAUAAAGAUAAAAUUUAAUUAUUUGUUAGGCUGGGGAGGCACAAAUAAAAUAUUAUUUUAACUGUUUGAUAUUUAUACAAUUAUAAAUGAAUAGUGAAGGAUCCUUUUUAAAGAUUAAUAAAUUAAGUUACUUUAGGGAUAACAGCGUAAUUUCUUUUGAGAGUUCUUAUCGAAAAAGAGGAUUGCGACCUCGAUGUUGAAUUAAAUAUUCUAUAUAGUGAAGAGGUUAUAUAAGAAGGUCUGUUCGACCUUUAAAAUUUUACAUGAUUUGAGUUCAAACCGGUGUGAGCCAGGUUGGUUUCUAUCUUUUAGGAAGAAAGGGAUUAUUUUAGUACGAAAGGAGUAAAUAAUUGAAAUAAUUUUAGUUUAGUUU
rnacentral:rRNA from 1 species